rnacentral:rRNA from 1 species
CCGACGGUGAGGGGCGAAAGCUGGGGGCACGAACCGGAUUAGAUACCCGGGUAGUCCCAGCCGUAAACGAUGCUCGCUAGGUGUCAGGCAUGGCGCGACCGUGUCUGGUGCCGCAGGGAAGCCGUGAAGCGAGCCACCUGGGAAGUACGGCCGCAAGGCUGAAACUUAAAGGAAUUGGCGGGGAGCACAACAACGGGUGGAGCCUGCGGUUUAAUUGGACUCAACGCCGGACAACUCACCGGGGGCGACAGCAAUAUGUAGGCCAAGCUGAAGACUUUGCCUGAAUCGCUGAGAGGAGGUGCAUGGCCGUCGCCAGUUCGUACUGU